CAGAAUUCUUUCUCACCUUCUCUAUGAUAUCACAUUCUCAAUUCUCUCUCUUACUUUACUCUCUCAAUCUCUUCAUCUUCCCCAUUUCUCAAUCAAUUUUCUCCAUAUUUCUAACCUUUUGUAAUCAUCUAUGGUGCUAUGUUUGUAACUUUGAGCUCAUUUAUUUGACUUUUCCUGCUGCGAAGGGGACCUGAGGCAAGCCUAAGGAGGAGGACAUUGAUGGCUCCAUAGUGUCUAAGGAGAAAUAAUUAAAACGAAAAUUGUCUCUCUUUGUCUAAGGUGGGGGUUGGAAAUGGGUCAAAUUAUGUCUCCAAAAGUGUUGAGGAUGAAGGUUUGUGUAGUAGUAGUAGUGGUAGUAGCAAACAUAAUACUAUGAAUUAUGUUGUCUGUAAAAGCAUGUUACAAACCUAUGUAUUAUGUUGUCUGUAAAAGCAUGUUACAUGUUUGUAACAUAUAAAUUCAUAGUUGUCGUUGUCUGUAAAAGCUUGUUACAGGUUCGUAACAUGUAAAUUCAUCGUUGCUGUAAAAGCUUGUUACAGGUUUGUAACACGUAAGUUCUCUAUCAUGUUUUUUUUUGUUUAAGUUGCAAGAUAAUGGUUUUGUUCUAUACAUACUAGGUUAUAUUUGUUUA